rnacentral:rRNA from 1 species
AUUGAACGCUGGCGGCAGGCCUAACACAUGCAAGUCGAGCGGAGCGGCGGACGGGUGCGUAAUGCUUAGGAAUCUGCCUGGUCGUGGGGGAUAACGUACGGAAACGGACGCUAACACCGCAUACUCUCAGUUGAGUCUAGGUCGGAUUAGCUAGUUGGUGGGGUAAAGGCCUACCAAGGCGACGAUCCGUAACUGGUCUGAGAGGAUGAUCAGUCACACGGGAACUGAGACACGGUCCAGACUCCUACGGGAGGCAGCAGUGGGGAAUAUUGGACAAUGGGCGAAAGCCUGAUCCAGCCAUGCCGCGUGUGUGAAGAAGGUCUUCGGGUUGUAAAGCACUUUAAGUUGGGAGGCGUUACCAACAGAAUAAGCACCGGCUAACUUCGUGCCAGCAGCCGCGGUAAUAC